rnacentral:rRNA from 1 species
GACGAACGCUGGCGGCGUGCAUAACACAUGCAAGUCGAACGAUGAAGAAGAGAAUGGAGACUUCGGUCAAAGUUCGCUUCGGAUUAGUGGCAGACGGGUGAGUAACGCGUGAGCAACCUACCUCUUACAAAGGGAUAGCCAUGGGAAACCGUGAUUAAUACCAUAUGAUACAAUAACAAGGCAUCUUGAGAUUGCUAAAGCUCCGGCGGUAAGAGAUGGGCUCGCGUCCCAUUAGCUAGUUGGUGAGGGUAACGGCCCACCAAGGCGACGAUGGGUAACCGGCCUGAGAGGGUGAACGGUCACAUUGGAACUGAGACACGGUCCAA